CCGGCAGCCUAACAUAUGCAGUCGAGCGCGCCUUCGGGUGAGCGGCGGACGGGUUAGUAGGAACGUGCCCUUUCUACGGAAUAGCCUCUGGAAACGGAGAGUAAUACCGUAUACGCCCUUUGGGGGAAAGAUUUAUCGGAGAAGGAUCGGCCCGCGUUAGAUUAGGUAGUUGGUGGGGUAAUGGCCUACCAAGCCUACGAUCUAUAGCUGGUUUUAGAGGAUGAUCAGCAACACUGGGACUGAGACACGGCCCAGACUCCUACGGGAGGCAGCAGUGGGGAAUCUUAGACAAUGGGGGCAACCCUGAUCUAGCCAUGCCGCGUGAGUGAUGAAUGCUAAGGUCGUAAGCUCUUCGCUGUAUGAAUGACGUAGCUGUUACGAACCCCGGGUAAUCGUUGCAGCACCCGGGAAUAGAGGGGUU
rnacentral:rRNA from 1 species